rnacentral:rRNA from 1 species
AGAGUUUGAUCAUGGCUCAGGAUGAACGCUAGCGACAGGCUUAACACAUGCAAGUCGAGGGGCAGCAUGAUAAGUAGCAAUACUUAUUGAUGGCGACCGGCGCACGGGUGAGUAACGCGUAUGCAACUUACCUAUCAGAGGGGGAUAGCCCGGCGAAAGUCGGAUUAAUACUCCAUAAAACAGGGGUCCCGCAUGGGAAUAUUUGUUAAAGAUUUAUCGCUGAUAGAUAGGCAUGCGUUCCAUUAGGCAGUUGGCGGGUACGGCCACAACCGACGAUGGAUAGGGGUUCUGAGAGGAAGGUCCCCCANAUUGGUACUGAGACACGGACCAAACUCCUACGGAGGCA